rnacentral:lncRNA from 1 species
AGGCUUUCCUGCCAUCUUGCAGAGUUGGAGUCUGGGGAUGUUAAGAAGUUUAAGAAGAAAAACAACACAAAACAAAGAAAAAAAACAGAAGCUCACCACCUUCAUCAUGAUGGCUAUGAUGUGAGCUCAGAUUAUGUGCAGUGGUUGCCUAAAACUUCGUGGGUCCAAUGGAGAUGGAGCCAUGUCAUCCUGUUCGUCACCUUCAGGGUGUCCCGCAGCACAGUGUGGUGCUCACACCUGUCUGCGUUCACCGUGAGUCAUCGCUGCACCUGCAUCUUGUGGCCUUUAUGCGAUAGUGAUCAUAAUGCAGUAUGGCACAUCCAUCUUCAAUUAUUUACAGGAAUCUCAUGGCAUCUUGAUUCCCUCAGCUUGUCAAAAAAAAAAAAAAAUUGCACUGAACAGCAAAGAAGACUAUAUUCAAGGUUAGUGCAGUUUGGGAAAGAGACUAUUCAAAUAGGGGAGAGACAUAGAAAUAAACUCUUAAAACAUGGGGGAGAAUUUGUCAGCACUGGGGUGAGCUAGCAGGAAGUACUGGAGGACUUUGGAGGGGAGGGUGGCCACUGUGCUUAAUUGUCUGUGUUUGUUAAUUAGCAUUUAUUAAAGUUAGGCUCCUACCCUGCCAUGUAGGCAGAGAUACAUACACAGAGAUACAUGCACAUGCAUUUGUGCACACACAGAUACAUACAUGAACACACUGACAUAUAUGUACAGACAUACACAGAUACACACAGACCCCCAGACACACAAAUAUGUGUACACACAGAGAUACAUAUGUGCACACAGAUGUAAACAGAGAUGUAUACACACACACAUAGAUGGGGAAACAGGGACCCUGUAUUUUGGAAUGACUAAAUUUCAGAGUUGGCUUCCAGAUCCUUGAGAAAGACAGUCUUGGGUUGUACAAGUGACAAGAGGCUGGGAGAUGAUUUACAUCUCAAAGGGGCAGAG